GGUGCUCUGAGUUCUGAAGAUGUUUUCAGCUGUGGACAGGGGAGGUGAGAGGGGGAUGUGAGGGGUAAGGUUUUUUAUUGAGAGAGUGGUGGAUGUGAGGAAGGUGCUCUGUUCUGAAGAUGCUUUCAGCUGUGGACAGGGGAGGUGAGAGGGGGAUGUGAGGGGCAAGGUUUUUUACUGAGAGAGUGGUGGAUGUGAGGAAGGUGCUCUGAGUUCUGAAGAUGCUUUCAGCUGUGGACAGGGGAGGUGAGAGGGGGAUGUGAGGGGCAAGGUUUUUUUACUGAGAGUGGUGGAUGUGAGGAAGGUGCUCUGUUCUGAAGAAGUUUUCAGCUGUGGACAGGGGAGGUGAGAGGGGGAUGUGGGGGGUAAGGUUUUUUACAGAGAGUGGUGGAUGUGAGGAAGGUGCUCUGUUCUGAAGAAGUUUUCAGCUGUGGACAGGGGAGGUGAGAGGGGGAUGUGAGGGGCAAGGUUUUUUACAGAGAGUGGUGGAUGUGAGGAAGGUGCUCUGUUCUGAAGAAGUUUUCAGCUGUGGACAGGGGAGGUGAGAGGGGGAUGUGAGGGGCAAGGUUUUUUACAGAGAGAGUGGUGGAUAGUGAGGAAGGUGCUCUGAGUUCUGAAGAAGUUUUCAGCUGUGGACAGGGGAGGUGAGAGGGGGAUGUGAGGGGCAAGGUUUUUUACUGAGAGAGUGGUGGAUGUGAGGAAGGUGCUCUGUUCUGAAGAAGUUUUCAGCUGUGGACAGGGGAGGUGAGAUGGGGAUGUGAGGGGCAAGGUUUUUUACAGAGAGUGGUGGAUGUGAGGAAGGUGCUCUGAGUUCUGAAGAAGUUUUCAGCUGUGGACAGGGGAGGUGAGAGGGGGAUGUGAGGGGUAAGGUUUUUUACUGAGAGAGUGGUGGAUGUGAGGAAGGUGCUCUGUUCUGAAGAUGCUUUCAGCUGUGGACAGGGGAGGUGAGAGGGGGAUGUGAGGGGCAAGGUUUUUUACAGAGAGUGGUGGAUGUGAGGAAGGUGCUCUGUUCUGAAGAUGCUUUCAGCUGUGGACAGGGGAGGUGAGAGGGGGAUGUGAGGGCAAGGUUUUUUACAGAGAGUGGUGGAUGUGAGGAAGGUGCUCUGUUCUGAAGAAGUUUUCAGCUGUGGACAGGGGAGGUGAGAGGGGGAUGUGAGGGGUAAGGUUUUUUACUGAGAGAGUGGUGGAUGUGAGGAAGGUGCUCUGUUCUGAAGAAGUUUUCAGCUGUGGACAGGGGAGGUGAGAGGGGGAUGUGAGGGACAAGGUUUUUUACUGAGAGUGGUGGAUGUGAGGAAGGUGCUCUGUUCUGAAGAAGUUUUCAGCUGUGGACAGGGGAGGUGAGAGGGGGAUGUGAGGGGCAAGGUUUUUUACAGAGAGUGGUGGAUGUGAGGAAGGUGCUCUGUUCUGAAGAAGUUUUCAGCUGUGGACAGGGGAGGUGAGAGGGGGAUGUGAGGGGUAAGGUUUUUUACAGAGAGUGGUGGAUGUGAGGAAGGUGCUCUGUUCUGAAGAUGCUUUCAGCUGUGGACAGGGGAGGUGAGAGGGGGAUGUGAGGGGCAAGGUUUUUUACUGAGAGAGUGGUGGAUGUGAGGAAGGUGCUCUGUUCUGAAGAAGUUUUCAGCUGUGGACAGGGGAGGUGAGAGGGGGAUGUGAGGGGCAAGGUUUUUUACUGAGAGAGUGGUGGAUGUGAGGAAGGUGCUCUGUUCUGAAGAUGUUUUCAGCUGUGGACAGGGGAGGUGAGAGGGGGAUGUGAGGGACAAGGUUUUUUACAGAGAGUGGUGGAUGUAAGGAAGGUGCUCUGUUCUGAAGAUGCUUUCAGCUGUGGACAGGGGAGGUGAGAGGGGGAUGUGAGGGGCAAGGUUUUUUACUGAGAGAGUGGUGGAUGUGAGGAAGGUGCUCUGUUCUGAAGAAGUUUUCAGCUGUGGACAGGGGAGGUGAGAGGGGGAUGUGAGGGGCAAGGUUUUUUACUGAGAGUGGUGGAUGUGAGGAAGGUGCUCUGUUCUGAAGAAGUUUUCAGCUGUGGACAGGGGAGGUGAGAGGGGGAUGUGAGGGGCAAGGUUUUUUACAGAGAGUGGUGGAUGUGAGGAAGGUGCUCCGUUCUGAAGAUGUUUUCAGCUGUGGACAGGGGAGGUGAGAGGGGGAUGUGAGGGACAAGGUUUUUUACAGAGAGUGGUGGAUGUGAGGAAGGUGCUCUGUUCUGAAGAAGUUUUCAGCUGUGGACAGGGGAGGUGAGAGGGGGAUGUGAGGGGCAAGGUUUUUUACAGAGAGUGGUGGAUGUGAGGAAGGUGCUCUGUUCUGAAGAAGUUUUCAGCUGUGGACAGGGGAGGUGAGAGGGGGAUGUGAGGGGCAAGGUUUUUUACAGAGAGUGGUGGAUGUGAGGAAGGUGCUCUGUUCUGAAGAUGCUUUCAGCUGUGGACAGGGGAGGUGAGAGGGGGAUGUGAGGGGCAAGGUUUUUUACUGAGAGAGUGGUGGAUGUGAGGAAGGUGCUCUGUACUGAAGAUGUUUUCAGCUGUGGACAGGGGAGGUGAGAGGGGGAUGUGAGGGGCAAGGUUUUUUACAGAGAGUGGUGGAUGUGAGGAAGGUGCUCUGUUCUGAAGAUGCUUUCAGCUGUGGACAGGGGAGGUGAGAGGGGGAUGUGAGGGACAAGGUUUUUUACAGAGAGUGGUGGAUGUGAGGAAGGUGCUCUGUUCUGAAGAUGCUUUCAGCUGUGGACAGGGGAGGUGAGAGGGGGAUGUGAGGGGCAAGGUUUUUUACUGAGAGAGUGGUGGAUGUGAGGAAGGUGCUCUGUUCUGAAGAAGUUUUCAGCUGUGGACAGGGGAGGUGAGAGGGGGAUGUGAGGGGCAAGGUUUUUUACAGAGAGUGGUGGAUGUGAGGAAGGUGCUCUGUUCUGAAGAUGCUUUCAGCUGUGGACAGGGGAGGUGAGAGGGGGAUGUGAGGGGCAAGGUUUUUUACAGAGAGUGGUGGAUGUGAGGAAGGUGCUCUGUUCUGAAGAAGUUUUCAGCUGUGGACAGGGGAGGUGAGAGGGGGAUGUGAGGGGCAAGGUUUUUUACAGAGAGUGGUGGAUGUGAGGAAGGUGCUCUGUUCUGAAGAAGUUUUCAGCUGUGGACAGGGGAGGUGAGAGGGGGAUGUGAGGGGCAAGGUUUUUUACAGAGAGUGGUGGAUGUGAGGAUGGUGCUCUGUUCUGAAGAUGCUUUCAGCUGUGGACAGGGGAGGUGAGAGGGGGAUGUGAGGGGCAAGGUUUUUUACUGAGAGAGUGGUGGAUGUGAGGAAGGUGCUCUGUUCUGAAGAUGCUUUCAGCUGUGGACAGGGGAGGUGAGAGGGGGAUGUGAGGGGCAAGGUUUUUUACAGAGAGUGGUGGAUGUGAGGAAGGUGCUCUGUUCUGAAGAUGCUUUCAGCUGUGGACAGGGGAGGUGAGAGGGGGAUGUGAGGGGCAAGGUUUUUUACUGAGAGUGGUGGAUGUGAGGAAGGUGCUCUGUUCUGAAGAUGUUUUCAGCUGUGGACAGGGGAGGUGAGAGGGGGAUGUGAGGGGCAAGGUUUUUUACAGAGAGUGGUGGAUGUGAGGAAGGUGCUCUGUACUGAAGAUGCUUUCAGCUGUGGACAGGGGAGGUGAGAGGGGGAUGUGAGGGGCAAGGUUUUUUACAGAGAGUGGUGGAUGUGAGGAAGGUGCUCUGUACUGAAGAUGUUUUCAGCUGUGGACAGGGGAGGUGAGAGGGGGAUGUGAGGGGCAAGGUUUUUUACUGAGAGAGUGGUGGAUGUGAGGAAGGUGCUCUGUUCUGAAGAUGUUUUCAGCUGUGGACAGGGGAGGUGAGAGGGGGAUGUGAGGGGCAAGGUUUUUUACUGAGAGAGUGGUGGAUAUGAGGAAGGUGCUCUGUUCUGAAGAUGUUUUCAGCUGUGGACAGGGGAGGUGAGAGGGGGAUGUGAGGGGCAAGGUUUUUUACAGAGAGUGGUGGAUGUGAGGAAGGUGCUCUGUUCUGAAGAUGCUUUCAGCUGUGGACAGGGGAGGUGAGAGGGGGAUGUGAGGGGCAAGGUUUUUUACUGAGAGAGUGGUGGAUGUGAGGAAGGUGCUCUGUUCUGAAGAAGUUUUCAGCUGUGGACAGGGGAGGUGAGAGGGGGAUGUGAGGGGUAAGGUUUUUUACAGAGAGUGGUGGAUGUGAGGAAGGUGCUCUGUUCUGAAGAUGCUUUCAGCUGUGGACAGGGGAGGUGAGAGGGGGAUGUGAGGGGCAAGGUUUUUUACUGAGAGAGUGGUGGAUGUGAGGAAGGUGCUCUGUUCUGAAGAUGUUUUCAGCUGUGGACAGGGGAGGUGAGAGGGGGAUGUGAGGGGCAAGGUUUUUUACAGAGAGUGGUGGAUGUGAGGAAGGUGCUCUGUUCUGAAGAAGUUUUCAGCUGUGGACAGGGGAGGUGAGAGGGGGAUGUGAGGGGCAAGGUUUUUUACUGAGAGAGUGGUGGAUGUGAGGAAGGUGCUCUGUUCUGAAGAUGUUUUCAGCUGUGGACAGGGGAGGUGAGAGGGGGAUGUGAGGGGCAAGGUUUUUUACAGAGAGUGGUGGAUGUGAGGAAGGUGCUCUGUUCUGAAGAAGUUUUCAGCUGUGGACAGGGGAGGUGAGAGGGGGAUGUGCGGGACAAGGUUUUUUACAGAGAGUGGUGGAUGUGAGGAAGGUGCUCUGUUCUGAAGAUGCUUUCAGCUGUGGACAGGGGAGGUGAGAGGGGGAUGUGAGGGGCAAGGUUUUUUACAGAGAGUGGUGGAUGUGAGGAAGGUGCUCUGUUCUGAAGAAGUUUUCAGCUGUGGACAGGGGAGGUGAGAGGGGGAUGUGAGGGGUAAGGUUUUUUACAGAGAGUGGUGGAUGUGAGGAAGGUGCUCUGUUCUGAAGAUGCUUUCAGCUGUGGACAGGGGAGGUGAGAGGGGGAUGUGAGGGGCAAGGUUUUUUACUGAGAGAGUGGUGGAUGUGAGGAAGGUGCUCUGUUCUGAAGAUGCUUUCAGCUGUGGACAGGGGAGGUGAGAGGGGGAUGUGAGGGACAAGGUUUUUUACUGAGAGAGUGGUGGAUGUGAGGAAGGUGCUCUGUUCUGAAGAAGUUUUCAGCUGUGGACAGGGGAGGUGAGAGGGGGAUGUGAGGGGCAAGGUUUUUUACAGAGAGUGGUGGAUGUGAGGAAGGUGCUCUGUUCUGAAGAUGUUUUCAGCUGUGGACAGGGGAGGUGAGAGGGGGAUGUGAGGGACAAGGUUUUUUACUGAGAGAGUGGUGGAUGUGAGGAAGGUGCUCUGUUCUGAAGAUGUUUUCAGCUGUGGACAGGGGAGGUGAGAGGGGGAUGUGAGGGACAAGGUUUUUUACAGAGAGUGGUGGAUGUGAGGAAGGUGCUCUGUUCUGAAGAAGUUUUCAGCUGUGGACAGGGGAGGUGAGAGGGGGAUGUGAGGGACAAGGUUUUUUACAGAGAGUGUGGUGGAUGUGAGGAAUGUGCUCUGUUCUGAAGAAGUUUUCAGCUGUGGACAGGGGAGGUGAGAGGGGGAUGUGAGGGGCAAGGUUUUUUAAUGAGAGAGUGGUGGAUGUGAGGAAGGUGCUCUGUUCUGAAGAAGUUUUCAGCUGUGGACAGGGGAGGUGAGAGGGGGAUGUGAGGGACAAGGUUUUUUACUGAGAGAGUGGUGGAUGUGAGGAAGGUGCUCUGUUCUGAAGAUGCUUUCAGCUGUGGACAGGGGAGGUGAGAGGGGGAUGUGAGGGACAAGGUUUUUUACAGAGAGUGGUGGAUGUGAGGAAGGUGCUCUGUUCUGAAGAAGUUUUCAGCUGUGGACAGAGGAGGUGAGAGGGGGAUGUGAGGGGCAAGGUUUUUUACAGAGAGUGGUGGAUGUGAGGAAGGUGCUCUGUUCUGAAAAUGUUUUCAGCUGUGGACAGGGGAGGUGAGAGGGGGAUGUGAGGGGGAAGGUUUUUUACUGAGAGAGUGGUGGAUGUGAGGAAGGUGCUCUGUUCUGAAGAAGUUUUCAGCUGUGGACAGGGGAGGUGAGAGGGGGAUGUGAGGGACAAGGUUUUUUACAGAGAGUGGUGGAUGUGAGGAAGGUGCUCUGUUCUGAAGAUGCUUUCAGCUGUGGACAGGGGAGGUGAGAGGGGGAUGUGAGGGACAAGGUUUUUUACAGAGAGAGUGGUGGAUGUGAGGAAGGUGCUCUGUUCUGAAGAAGUUUUCAGCUGUGGACAGGGGAGGUGAGAGGGGGAUGUGAGGGACAAGGUUUUUUACAGAGAGUGGUGGAUGUGAGGAAGGUGCUCUGUUCUGAAGAAGUUUUCAGCUGUGGACAGGGGAGGUGAGAGGGGGAUGUGAGGGACAAGGUUUUUUACAGAGAGUGGUGGAUGUGAGGAAGGUGCUCUGUUCUGAAGAAGUUUUCAGCUGUGGACAGGGGAGGUGAGAGGGGGAUGUGAGGGGCAAGGUUUUUUACAGAGAGUGGUGGAUGUGAGGAAGCUGCUCUGUUCUGAAGAAGUUUUCAGCUGUGGACAGGGGAGGUGAGAGGGGGGAUGUGAGGGGCAAGGUUUUUUACUGAGAGAGUGGUGGAUGUGAGGAAGGUGCUCUGUUCUGAAGAAGUUUUCAGCUGUGGACAGGGGAGGUGAGAGGGGGAUGUGAGGGACAAGGUUUUUUACUGAGAGAGUGGUGGAUGUGAGGAAGGUGCUCUGUUCUGAAGAAGUUUUCAGCUGUGGACAGGGGAGGUGAGAGGGGGAUGUGAGGGGCAAGGUUUUUUUACAGAGAGUGGUGGAUGUGAGGAAGGUGCUCUGUUCUGAAGAAGUUUUCAGCUGUGGACAGGGGAGGUGAGAGGGGGAUGUGAGGGGCAAGGUUUUUUACAGAGAGUGGUGGAUGUGAGGAAGGUGCUCUGUUCUGAAGAAGUUUUCAGCUGUGGACAGGGGAGGUGAGAGGGGGAUGUGAGGGCAAGGUUUUUUACAGAGAGAGUGGUGGAUGUGAGGAAGGUGCUCUGUUCUGAAGAUGUUUUCAGCUGUGGACAGGGGAGGUGAGAGGGGGAUGUGAGGGGCAAGGUUUUUUACAGAGAGUGGUGGAUGUGAGGAAGGUGCUCUGUUCUGAAGAUGCUUUCAGCUGUGGACAGGGGAGGUGAGAGGGGGAUGUGAGGGGCAAGGUUUUUUACUGAGAGUGGUGGAUGUGAGGAAGGUGCUCUGUUCUGAAGAAGUUUUCAGCUGUGGACAGGGGAGGUGAGAGGGGGAUGUGAGGGACAAGGUUUUUUACAGAGAGUGGUGGAUGUGAGGAAGGUGCUCUGUUCUGAAGAUGCUUUCAGCUGUGGACAGGGGAGGUGAGAGGGGGAUGUGAGGGCAAGGUUUUUUACAGAGAGUGGUGGAUGUGAGGAAGGUGCUCUGUUCUGAAGAAGUUUUCAGCUGUGGACAGGGGAGGUGAGAGGGGGAUGUGAGGGCAAGGUUUUUUACAGAGAGUGGUGGAUGUGAGGAAGGUGCUCUGUUCUGAAGAAGUUUUCAGCUGUGGACAGGGGAGGUGAGAGGGGGAUGUGAGGGGCAAGGUUUUUUACUGAGAGAGUGGUGGAUGUGAGGAAGGUGCUCUGUUCUGAAGAAGUUUUCAGCUGUGGACAGGGGAGGUGAGAGGGGGAUGUGAGGGGCAAGGUUUUUUACAGAGAGUGGUGGAUGUGAGGAAGGUGCUCUGUUCUGAAGAAGUUUUCAGCUGUGGACAGGGGAGGUGAGAGGGGGAUGUGAGGGGUACGGUUUUUUACAGAGAGUGGUGGAUGUGAGGAAGGUGCUCUGUUCUGAAGAUGUUUUCAGCUGUGGACAGGGGAGGUGAGAGGGGGAUGUGAGGGGCAAGGUUUUUUACAGAGAGUGGUGGAUGUGAGGAAGGUGCUCUGUUCUGAAGAAGUUUUCAGCUGUGGACAGGGGAGGUGAGAGGGGGAUGUGAGGGGCAAGGUUUUUUACAGAGAGUGGUGGAUGUGAGGAAGGUGCUCUGUUCUGAAGAAGUUUUCAGCUGUGGACAGGGGAGGUGAGAGGGGGAUGUGAGGGACAAGGUUUUUUACAGAGAGUGGUGGAUGUGAGGAAGGUGCUCUGUUCUGAAGAUGUUUUCAGCUGUGGACAGGGGAGGUGAGAGGGGGAUGUGAGGGGCAAGGUUUUUUACAGAGAGUGGUGGAUGUGAGGAAGGUGCUCUGUUCUGAAGAAGUUUUCAGCUGUGGACAGGGGAGGUGAGAGGGGGAUGUGAGGGGCAAGGUUUUUUACUGAGAGAGUGGUGGAUGUGAGGAAGGUGCUCUGUUCUGAAGAUGUUUUCAGCUGUGGACAGGGGAGGUGAGAGGGGGAUGUGAGGGGCAAGGUUUUUUACUGAGAGAGUGGUGGAUGUGAGGAAGGUGCUCUGUUCUGAAGAUGUUUUCAGCUGUGGACAGGGGAGGUGAGAGGGGGAUGUGAGGGACAAGGUUUUUUACAGAGAGUGGUGGAUGUGAGGAAGGUGCUCUGUUCUGAAGAUGCUUUCAGCUGUGGACAGGGGAGGUGAGAGGGGGAUGUGAGGGGUAAGGUUUUUUACAGAGAGUGGUGGGUGUGAGGAAGGUGCUCUGUUCUGAAGAUGCUUUCAGCUGUGGACAGGGGAGGUGAGAGGGGGAUGUGAGGGACAAGGUUUUUUACAGAGAGUGGUGGAUGUGAGGAAGGUGCUCUGUUCUGAAGAUGCUUUCAGCUGUGAACAGGGGAGGUGAGAGGGGGAUGUGAGGGCAAGGUUUUUUACUGAGAGAGUGGUGGAUGUGAGGAAGGUGCUCUGUUCUGAAGAAGUUUUCAGCUGUGGACAGGGGAGGUGAGAGGGGGAUGUGAGGGACAAGGUUUUUUACUGAGAGUGGUGGAUGUGAGGAAGGUGCUCUGUUCUGAAGAAGUUUUCAGCUGUGGACAGGGGAGGUGAGAGGGGGAUGUGAGGGACAAGGUUUUUUACAGAGAGUGGUGGAUGUGAGGAAGGUGCUCUGUUCUGAAGAUGUUUUCAGCUGUGGACAGGGGAGGUGAGAGGGGGAUGUGAGGGGCAAUGUUUUUUACUGAGAGAGUGGUGGAUGUGAGGAAGGUGCUCUGUUCUGAAGAUGUUUUCAGCUGUGGACAGGGGAGGUGAGAGGGGGAUGUGAGGGGCAAGGUUUUUUACUGAGAGAGUGGUGGAUGUGAGGAAGGUGCUCUGUUCUGAAGAAGCUUUCAGCUGUGGACAGGGGAGGUGAGAGGGGGAUGUGAGGGACAAGGUUUUUUACUGAGAGAGUGGUGGAUGUGAGGAAGGUGCUCUGUUCUGAAGAUGUUUUCAGCUGUGGACAGGGGAGGUGAGAGGGGGAUGUGAGGGGCAAGGUUUUUUACUGAGAGAGUGGUGGAUGUGAGGAAGGUGCUCUGUUCUGAAGAAGCUUUCAGCUGUGGACAGGGGAGGUGAGAGGGGGAUGUGAGGGACAAGGUUUUUUACAGAGAGUGGUGGAUGUGAGGAAGGUGCUCUGUUCUGAAGAUGCUUUCAGCUGUGGACAGGGGAGGUGAGAGGGGGAUGUGAGGGCAAGGUUUUUUACAGAGAGUGGUGGAUGUGAGGAAGGUGCUCUGUUCUGAAGAUGUUUUCAGCUGUGGACAGGGGAGGUGAGAGGGGGAUGUGAGGGGCAAGGUUUUUUACAGAGAGUGGUGGAUGUGAGGAAGGGGCUCUGUUCUGAAGAAGUUUUCAGCUGUGGACAGGGGAGGUGAGAGGGGGAUGUGAGGGGCAAUGUUUUUUACAGAGAGUGGUGGAUGUGAGGAAGGUGCUCUGUUCUGAAGAAGUUUUCAGCUGUGGACAGGGGAGGUGAGAGGGGGAUGUGAGGGGCAAGGUUUUUUACAGAGAGUGGUGGAUGUCAGGAAGGUGCUCUGUUCUGAAGAAGUUUUCAGCUGUGGACAGGGGAGGUGAGAGGGGGAUGUGAGGGGCAAGGUUUUUUACUGAGAGUGGUGGAUGUGAGGAAGGUGCUCUGUUCUGAAGAUGCUUUCAGCUGUGGACAGGGGAGGUGAGAGGGGGAUGUGAGGGGUAAGGUUUUUUACAGAGAGAGUGGUGGAUGUGAGGAAGGUGCUCUGUUCUGAAGAUGUUUUCAGCUGUGGACAGGGGAGGUGAGGGGGGGAUGUGAGGGGCAAGGUUUUUUACAGAGAGUGGUGGAUGUGAGGAAGGUGCUCUGUUCUGAAGAAGUUUUCAGCUGUGGACAGGGGAGGUGAGAGGGGGAUGUGAGGGGUAAGGUUUUUUACUGAGAGAGUGGUGGAUGUGAGGAAGGUGCUCUGUUCUGAAGAUGCUUUCAGCUGUGGACGGGGGAGGUGAGAGGGGGAUGGGAGGGGUAAGGUUUUUUACUGAGAGAGUGGUGGAUGUGAGGAAGGUGCUCUGUUCUGAAGAAGUUUUCAGCUGUGGACAGGGGAGGUGAGAGGGGGAUGUGAGGGGCAAGGUUUUUUACAGAGAGUGGUGGAUGUGAGGAAGGUGCUCUGUUCUGAAGAAGUUUUCAGCUGUGGACAGGGGAGGUGAGAGGGGGAUGUGAGGGGCAAGGUUUUUUACUGAGAGUGGUGGAUGUGAGGAAGGUGCUCUGUUCUGAAGAAGUUUUCAGCUGUGGACAGGGGAGGUGAGAGGGGGAUGGGAGGGGUAAGGUUUUUUACUGAGAGUGGUGGAUGUGAGGAAGGUGCUCUGUUCUGAAGAUGUUUUCAGCUGUGGACAGGGGAGGUGAGAGGGGGAUGUGAGGGGCAAGGUUUUUUACUGAGAGUGGUGGAUGUGAGGAAGGUGCUCUGUUCUGAAGAAGUUUUCAGCUGUGGACAGGGGAGGUGAGAGGGGGAUGUGAGGGGCAAGGUUUUUUACAGAGAGUGGUGGAUGUGAGGAAGGUGCUCUGUUCUGAAGAUGCUUUCAGCUGUGGACAGGGGAGGUGAGAGGGGGAUGUGAGGGGCAAGGUUUUUUACUGAGAGAGUGGUGGAUGUGAGGAAGGUGCUCUGUUCUGAAGAAGUUUUCAGCUGUGGACAGGGGAGGUGAGAGGGGGAUGUGAGGGGCAAGGUUUUUUACUGAGAGUGGUGGAUGUGAGGAAGGUGCUCUGUUCUGAAGAAGUUUUCAGCUGUGGACAGGGGAGGUGAGAGGGGAUGUGAGGGGCAAGGUUUUUUACUGAGAGAGUGGUGGAUGUGAGGAAGGUGCUCUGUUCUGAAGAUGCUUUCAGCUGUGGACAGGGGAGGUGAGAGGGGGAUGUGAGGGGCAAGGUUUUUUACAGAGAGUGGUGGAUGUGAGGAAGGUGCUCUGUUCUGAAGAAGUUUUCAGCUGUGGACAGGGGAGGUGAGAGGGGGAUGUGAGGGGCAAGGUUUUUUACUGAGAGAGUGGUGGAUGUGAGGAAGGUGCUCUGUUCUGAAGAUGCUUUCAGCUGUGGACAGGGGAGGUGAGAGGGGGAUGUGAGGGGCAAGGUUUUUUACUGAGAGAGUGGUGGAUGUGAGGAAGGUGCUCUGUUCUGAAGAUGCUUUCAGCUGUGGACAGGGGAGGUGAGAGGGGGAUGUGAGGGGCAAGGUUUUUUACAGAGAGUGGUGGAUGUGAGGAAGGUGCUCUGUUCUGAAGAUGUUUUCAGCUGUGGACAGGGGAGGUGAGAGGGGGAUGUGAGGGGCAAGGUUUUUUACUGAGAGAGUGGUGGAUGUGAGGAAGGUGCUCUGUUCUGAAGAUGCUUUCAGCUGUGGACAGGGGAGGUGAGAGGGGGAUGUGAGGGGCAAGGUUUUUUACAGAGAGUGGUGGAUGUGAGGAAGGUGCUCUGUUCUGAAGAUGCUUUCAGCUGUGGACAGGGGAGGUGAGAGGGGGAUGUGAGGGGCAAGGUUUUUUACAGAGAGUGGUGGAUGUGAGGAAGGUGCUCUGUUCUGAAGAAGUUUUCAGCUGUGGACAGGGGAGGUGAGAGGGGGAUGUGAGGGGCAAGGUUUUUUACUGAGAGAGUGGUGGAUGUGAGGAAGGUGCUCUGUUCUGAAGAGGUUUUCAGCUGUGGACAGGGGAGGUGAGAGGGGGAUGUGAGGGGCAAGGUUUUUUACAGAGAGAGUGGUGGAUGUGAGGAAGGUGCUCUGUUCUGAAGAAGUUUUCAGCUGUGGACAGGGGAGGUGAGAGGGGGAUGAGAGGGGCAAGGUUUUUUACUGAGAGUGGUGGAUGUGAGGAAGGUGCUCUGUUCUGAAGAUGCUUUCAGCUGUGGACAGGGGAGGUGAGAGGGGGAUGUGAGGGACAAGGUUUUUUACUGAGAGAGUGGUGGAUGUGAGGAAGGUGCUCUGUUCUGAAGAAGUUUUCAGCUGUGGACAGGGGAGGUGAGAGGGGGAUGAGAGGGGCAAGGUUUUUUACUGAGAGAGUGGUGGAUGUGAGGAAGGUGCUCUGUUCUGAAGAAGUUUUCAGCUGUGGACAGGGGAGGUGAGAGGGGGAUGUGAGGGGCAAGGUUUUUUACAGAGAGUGGUGGAUGUGAGGAAGGUGCUCUGUUCUGAAGAAGUUUUCAGCUGUGGACAGGGGAGGUGAGAGGGGGAUGUGAGGGGCAGUUUUUUUACAGAGAGAGUGGUGGAUGUGAGGAAGGUGCUCUGUUCUGAAGAUGCUUUCAGCUGUGGACAGGGGAGGUGAGAGGGUGGAUGUGAGGGGCAAGAUUUUUUACUGAGAGAGUGGUGGAUGUGAGGAAGGUGCUCUGUUCUGAAGAAGUUUUCAGCUGUGGACAGGGGAGGUGAGAGGGGGAUGUGUGGGGCAAGGUUUUUUACUGAGAGAGUGGUGGAUGUGAGGAAGGUGCUCUGUUCUGAAGAUGCUUUCAGCUGUGGACAGGGGAGGUGAGAGGGGGAUGUGAGGGGCAAGGUUUUUUACUGAGAGAGUGGUGGAUGUGAGGAAGGUGCUCUGUUCUGAAGAAGUUUCCAGCUGUGGACAGGGGAGGUGAGAGGGGGAUGUGAGGGGCAAGGUUUUUUACUGAGAGAGUGGUGGAUGUGAGGAAGGUGCUCUGUUCUGAAGAAGUUUUCAGCUGUGGACAGGGGAGGUGAGAGGGGGAUGUGAGGGGCAAGGUUUUUUACUGAGAGAGUGGUGGAUGUGAGGAAGGUGCUCUGUUCUGAAGAAGUUUUCAGCUGUGGACAGGGGAGGUGAGAGGGGGAUGUGAGGGGCAAGGUUUUUUACAGAGAGUGGUGGAUGUGAGGAAGGUGCUCUGUUCUGAAGAUGCUUUCAGCUGUGGACAGGGGAGGUGAGAGGGGGAUGUGAGGGGCAAGGUUUUUUACUGAGAGAGUGGUGGAUGUGAGGAAGGUGCUCUGUUCUGAAGAAGUUUUCAGCUGUGGACAGGGGAGGUGAGUGGGGGAUGUGAGGGGCAAGGUUUUUUACAGAGAGAGUGGUGGAUGUGAGGAAGGUGCUCUGUUCUGAAGAUGCUUUCAGCUGUGGACAGGGGAGGUGAGAGGGGGAUGUGAGGGGCAAGGUUUUUUACAGAGAGAGUGGUGGAUGUGAGGAAGGUGCUCUGUUCUGAAGAAGUUUUCAGCUGUGGACAGGGGAGGUGAGAGGGGGAUGUGAGGGGCAAGGUUUUUUACUGAGAGUGGUGGAUGUGAGGAAGGUGCUCUGUUCUGAAGAUGUUUUCAGCUCUGGACAGGGGAGGUGAGAGGGGGAUGUGAGGGCAAGGUUUUUUACUGAGAGAGUGGUGGAUGUGAGGAAGGUGCUCUGUUCUGAAGAAGUUUUCAGCUGUGGACAGGGGAGGUGAGAGGGGGAUGUGAGGGGCAAGGUUUUUUACUGAGAGAGUGGUGGAUGUGAGGAAGGUGCUCUGUUCUGAAGAAGUUUUCAGCUGUGGACAGGGGAGGUGAGAGGGGGAUGUGAGGGGCAAGGUUUUUUACUGAGAGAGUGGUGGAUGUGAGGAAGGUGCUCUGUUCUGAAGAUGUUUUCAGCUGUGGACAGGGGAGGUGAGAGGGGGAUGUGAGGGGCAAGGUUUUUUACUGAGAGAGUGGUGGAUGUGAGGAAGGUGCUCUGUUCUGAAGAAGUUUUCAGCUGUGGACAGGGGAGGUGAGAGGGUGAUGUGAGGGGCAAGGUUUUUUACUGAGAGUGGUGGAUGUGAGGAAGGUGCUCUGUUCUGAAGAUGCUUUCAGCUGUGGACAGGGGAGGUGAGAGGGGGAUGUGAGGGGUAAGGUUUUUUACAGAGAGUGGUGGAUGUGAGGAAGGUGCUCUGUUCUGAAGAUGCUUUCAGCUGUGGACAGGGGAGGAGAGAGGGGGAUGUGAUGGGGCAAGGUUUUUUACUGAGAGAGUGGUGGAUGUGAGGAAGGUGCUCUGUUCUGAAGAUGCUUUCAGCUGUGGACAGGGGAGGUGAGAGGGGGAUGUGAUGGGGCAAGGUUUUUUACAGAGAGAGUGGUGGAUGUGAGGAAGGUGCUCUGUUCUGAAGAAGUUUUCAGCUGUGGACAGGGGAGGUGAGAGGGGGAUGUGAGGGGCAAGGUUUUUUACUGAGAGAGUGGUGGAUGUGAGGAAGGUGCUCUGUUCUGAAGAAGUUUUCAGCUGUGGACAGGGGAGGUGAGAGGGGGAUGUGAGGGGCAAGGUUUUUUACUGAGAGAGUGGUGGAUGUGAGGAAGGUGCUCUGUUCUGAAGAAGUUUUCAGCUGUGGACAGGGGAGGUGAGAGGGGGAUGUGAGGGGCAAGGUUUUUUACUGAGAGAGUGGUGGAUGUGAGGAAGGUGCUCUGUUCUGAAGAAGUUUUCAGCUGUGGACAGGGGAGGUGAGAGGGGGAUGUGAGGGGCAAGGUUUUUUACUGAGAGAGUGGUGGAUGUGAGGAAGGUGCUCUGUUCUGAAGAAGUUUUCAGCUGUGGACAGGGGAGGUGAGAGGGGGAUGUGAGGGGCAAGGUUUUUUACAGAGAGUGGUGGAUGUGAGGAAGGUGCUCUGUUCUGAAGAUGCUUUCAGCUGUGGACAGGGGAGGUGAGAGGGGGAUGUGAGGGACAAGGUUUUUUACAGAGAGUGGUGGAUGUGAGGAAGGUGCUCUGUUCUGAAGAAGUUUUCAGCUGUGGACAGGGGAGGUGAGAGGGGGAUGUGAGGGACAAGGUUUUUUACAGAGAGUGGUGGAUGUGAGGAAGGUGCUCUGUUCUGAAGAAGUUUUCAGCUGUGGACAGGGGAGGUGAGAGGGGGAUGUGAGGGGCAAGGUUUUUUACUGAGAGAGUGGUGGAUGUGAGGAAAGUGCUCUGUUCUGAAGAAGUUUUCAGCUGUGGACAGGGGAGGUGAGAGGGGGAUGUGAGGGGUAAGGUUUUUUACAGAGAGUGGUGGAUGUGAGGAAGGUGCUCUGUUCUGAAGAUGCUUUCAGCUGUGGACAGGGGAGGAGAGAGGGGGAUGUGAUGGGGCAAGGUUUUUUACUGAGAGAGUGGUGGAUGUGAGGAAGGUGCUCUGUUCUGAAGAUGCUUUCAGCUGUGGACAGGGGAGGUGAGAGGGGGAUGUGAGGGGUAAGGUUUUUUACAGAGAGUGGUGGAUGUGAGGAAGGUGCUCUGUUCUGAAGAAGUUUUCAGCUGUGGACAGGGGAGGUGAGAGGGGGAUGUGAGGGGCAAGGUUUUUUACAGAGAGAGUGGUGGAUGUGAGGAAGGUGCUCUGUUCUGAAGAUGCUUUCAGCUGUGGACAGGGGAGGUGAGAGGGGGAUGUGAGGGGCAAGGUUUUUUACAGAGAGUGGUGGAUUUGAGGAAGGUGCUCUGUUCUGAAGAAGUUUUCAGCUGUGGACAGGGGAGGUGAGAGGGGGAUGUGAGGGGCAAGGUUUUUUACAGAGAGUGGUGGAUGUGAGGAAGGUGCUCUGUUCUGAAGAAGUUUUCAGCUGUGGACAGGGGAGGUGAGAGGGGGAUGUGAGGGGCAAGGUUUUUUACUGAGAGAGUGGUGGAUGUGAGGAAGGUGCUCUGUUCUGAAGAAGUUUUCAGCUGUGGACAGGGGAGGUGAGAGGGUGAUGUGAGGGGCAAGGUUUUUUACUGACAGUGGUGGAUGUGAGGAAGGUGCUCUGUUCUGAAGAUGCUUUCAGCUGUGGACAGGGGAGGUGAGAGGGGGAUGUGAGGGGCAAGGUUUUUUACUGAGAGAGUGGUGGAUGUGAGGAAGGUGCUCUGUUCUGAAGAAGUUUUCAGCUGUGGACAGGGGAGGUGAGAGGGGGAUGUGAGGGGCAAGGUUUUUUACUCAGAGUGGUGGAUGUGAGGAAGGUGCUCUGUUCUGAAGAUGCUUUCAGCUGUGGACAGGGGAGGUGAGAGGGGGAUGUGAGGGGCAAGGUUUUUUACAGAGAGUGGUGGAUGUGAGGAAGGUGCUCUGUUCUGAAGAAGUUUUCAGCUGUGGACAGGGGAGGUGAGAGGGGGAUGUGAGGGGCAAGGUUUUUUACAGAGAGUGGUGGAUGUGAGGAAGGUGCUCUGUUCUGAAGAAGUUUUCAGCUGUGGACAGGGGAGGUGAGAGGGGGAUGUGAGGGACAAGGUUUUUUACAGAGAGUGGUGGAUGUGAGGAAGGUUCUCUGUUCUGAAGAAGUUUUCAGCUGUGGACAGGGGAGGUGAGAGGGGGAUGUGAGGGGCAAGGUUUUUUACUGAGAGAGGUGGAUGUGAGGAAGGUGCUCUGUUCUGAAGAAGUUUUCAGCUGUGGACAGGGGAGGUGAGAGGGGGAUGUGAGGGGCAAGGUUUUUUACUGAGAGAGUGGUGGAUGUGAGGAAGGUGCUCUGUUCUGAAGAAGUUUUCAGCUGUGGACAGGGGAGGUGAGAGGGGGAUGUGAGGGGCAAGGUUUUUUACUGAGAGAGUGGUGGAUGUGAGGAAGGUGCUCUGUUCUGAAGAAGUUUUCAGCUGUGGACAGGGGAGGUGAGAGGGGGAUGUGAGGGGCAAGGUUUUUUACAGAGAGUGGUGGAUGUGAGGAAGGUGCUCUGUUCUGAAGAUGUUUUCAGCUGUGGACAGGGGAGGUGAGAGGGGGAUGUGAGGGGCAAGGUUUUUUACAGAGAGUGGUGGAUGUGAGGAAGGUGCUCUGUUGUGAAGAAGUUUUCAGCUGUGGACAGGGGAGGUGAGAGGGGGAUGUGAGGGGCAAGGUUUUUUACAGAGAGAGUGGUGGAUGUGAGGAAGGUGCUCUGUUGUGAAGAAGUUUUCAGCUGUGGACAGGGGAGGUGAGAGGGGGAUGUGAGGGGCAAGGUUUUUUACAGAGAGAGUGGUGGAUGUGAGGAAGGUGCUCUGUUCUGAAGAUGUUUUCAGCUGUGGACAGGGGAGGUGAGAGGGGGAUGUGAGGGGCAAGGUUUUUUACUGAGAGUGGUGGAUGUGAGGAAGGUGCUCUGUUCUGAAGAUGCUUUCAGCUGUGGACAGGGGAGGUGAGAGGGGGAUGUGAGGGGCAAGGUUUUUUACAGAGAGUGGUGGAUGUGAGGAAGGUGCUCUGUUCUGAAGAAGUUUUCAGCUGUGGACAGGGGAGGUGAGAGGGGGAUGUGAGGGGCAAGGUUUUUUACUGAGAGAGUGGUGGAUGUGAGGAAGGUGCUCUGUUCUGAAGAAGUUUUCAGCUGUGGACAGGGGAGGUGAGAGGGGGAUGUGAGGGGCAAGGUUUUUUACUGAGAGAGUGGUGGAUGUGAGGAAGGUGCUCUGUUCUGAAGAUGUUUUCAGCUGUGGACAGGGGAGGUGAGAGGGGGAUGUGAGGGGCAAGGUUUUUUACAGAGAGUGGUGGAUGUAAGGAAGGUGCUCUGUUCUGAAGAUGCUUUCAGCUGUGGACAGGGGAGGUGAGAGGGGGAUGUGAGGGGCAAGG